AUCUCGUAGUGUUUACCAAGUUUCUUGUUAUACCUACUAAAUGUAUCUCGCAUCUACAACAACCUAAAUAAUCAAACCAUAUUUAUUGUUACCCCAAUUAUACAAAUUGACUACGGUAAAUUCGUAAACAAUACUGGAUAAUUAUUAUAAUCGUUGAUUGUUGACGUCACAAGAAGUGUUAUAUAUUUCUAACGCAAUUGUGUCAUUAAGUCUGUAAUAUUUCGAGCUAACGAAAAAUCGAUUCUGAACGGAGUUCAGUUGAUAUA